UGGGGAAUUUUGCGCAAUGGGGGAAACCCUGACGCAGCAACGCCGCGUGAGUGAUGAAGGCCUUCGGGUUGUAAAGCUCUUUUAGUGGGGAAGAAGCCCACCCGGACGAAUAAUCCGGGUGUCUGACGGUACCCACAGAAAAAGUUCCGGCUAACUACGUGCCAGCAGCCGCGGUAAUACGUAGGGAGCAAGCGUUGUUCGGAAUUAUUGGGCGUAAAGAGCGCGUAGGCGGUUCGGUAAGUCUGGUGUGAAAUCCCGGAGCUUAACUCCGGAACUGCAUUGGAUACUGCCGGGCUUGAGUGUGGGAGAGGAGAGUGGAAUUCCCAGUGUAGAGGUGAAAUUCGUAGAUAUUGGGAGGAACACCCGUGGCGAAGGCGGCUCUCUGGACCACAACUGACGCUGAGGCGCGAAAGCUAGGGGAGCAAACGGGAUUAGAUACCCCGGUAGUCCUAGCCGUAAACGAUGGGCACUAGGUGUUGGAGGUAUCGACCCCUCCAGUGCCGCAGCUAACGCAUUAAGUGCCCCGCCUGGGGAGUACGGUCGCAAGACUA
rnacentral:rRNA from 1 species